ACAGUCGUCAGCCAGCCGGUUUGAAUGAAGUGCGAAUAUAUUCCCUUUGUACUAACUCGGUACCGUCGCAGUCUCAGCUGAGCAGCGUUCUAGAGUAGCUCGUAGCUCCCGCGGGAUCGCGAUUAGACCCGGGCUCAAGCCGUGCGUGUGCUUUAUUUAUUGUGUAAUUGGUUCGAAAGUCAGAUAUUUUGAAGUGACCCAAACGCGAUCGUGUCGGUUAAGGUUAUUUUUGAAACACCCAAGAAGUGGACAAAGUUAGAUUGUUGGAAGUGUGAUUGGGUGAAACGAGUGCGAUCAUGCUGCUGAAAAAGCUACCGUUAUCAGCACCUUCUUCGGCUGCCACCAUCAGAAGAUGUCUGUCUGCGCAGGCCAGCACCAGUCUGAACGAAAGUCCCGAACAGUCGAAAUCCACCAAGGAGUCCUUAGCCUACAAAAAGCACAGCUAUGACAAAAUUACCUCCAUGCGCAAGCAACACCUAACCCCAAAUGUGACGUCCUACUACAAAAAGCCCUUGCUCAUUCACAAGGGAAGCAUGCAGUGGCUGUUCGAUCACGAGGGACGCCGCUAUCUGGAUAUGUUCGGUGGAAUCGUCACCGUAUCCGUUGGACACUGCCACCCGAAAGUCAAUGCCGCUUUGGAAGAGCAGAUGAAUACCCUGUGGCACACUACCAACAUCUACAUGCACCCCAAAAUUCACGAAUACGCUGAAAAACUGCUGUCCAAACUCCCGGCCGAUUUGAACAAUGUGUACUUUGUCAACUCCGGAUCGGAAGCGAACGAUCUGGCAAUGAUGAUGGCACGGCUGUAUACCGGAAACAGCGAAAUCAUCAGUUUCCGUAACGCCUACCACGGAGCAUCGCCAUACACGAUGGGUCUGACGGCACAUUCAACGUGGCGAUAUCCCUUGGCCGGUGUUAGCAACGGCAUAAUCCACGCCAUGAAUCCCGAUCCGUACAGUGGUAUCUGGGGUGGAAAGAACUGCCGAGAUUCCCCGGUCCAAACCACGCGCCAUUGCGAUUGCCCUGCCGAUCAAUGUCUGGCUAGUGGUCGAUAUUACGAACAGUUGGAGCAGAUCUUCAAGUAUUCGUUACCACGCGGCAAGGUGGCAGCUAUGUUUGCAGAAUCGAUUCAAGGAGUCGGAGGAUCCGUUCAAUAUCCCAAAGGGUACAUCAAGAAGGCGGCGGAGCUGGUCCGCGCCAACGGAGGCUUGUUUGUGGCGGAUGAAGUUCAGACGGGUUUCGCCAGGACCGGCGAGCACUAUUGGGGCUUCGUGGGUCACGACAUUGUGCCGGACAUUGUUACGAUGGCCAAGGGUAUCGGCAAUGGAUUCCCGAUUGGAGCGGUGGUAACGUCGCGGAAGGUGGCGGAAACACUGUCACAAGCGUUACAUUUCAAUACCUAUGGGGGAAAUCCGCUGGCCAGUGCUGUUGGAAUUGCCGUAUUGGAUGUUAUUGAAGAAGAAGGUAUGCAACGCAAUGCACGUGAUGUUGGUACAUAUUUGCUCAAAGGAUUGGAUAAACUACGGGAUAAAUAUGAUGUCAUCGGAGAUGUACGAGGAAAGGGUCUGAUGAUCGGGGUUGAGCUGGUGGCCGACAAGGAGACACGUCAGCACCUCAGUGCGCCACACUUUGUGGAAAUUUGGGAGAUGUGCAAGGACAUGGGCGUCCUAUUCGGACGAGGCGGUUUGAAUGCUAACGUACUUAGAAUUAAACCACCGAUGUGUUUAACAAAAGAAGACGUUGACUUUGCCUUGCAAGCGCUAGACGUUGCACUCGAGCGUCACUCCGAGAGUGCUCAAAAACUAAUUUGAAACUGACCAAAACCUGUUAUUUGGAAGCAAAAACUUUCCACUAACACAGCACACCAUUUCAGAGCACCAAAGCUUAAUUGUUAGGAAUUUGAACCUCAUAAAAUGUGAAAAUUGGCACAAAUAUAUAACACAGAAAAAAAAAACAACAACAAAAUCAUUGCUUUGGUUAUCCUGAAACAUCCUCAACCGUAGACAAACUCCCAAGGUCCCAAACAACUUCCACCCUGCGUCAGAGUAGUGUAGCUGCUAACCAGUCCUGAAAACAAAAACAAAAUGGCGGUUAUACGGUUUAAACCACCCAUGUGCGUCAAUAUGUCCGACGCGGAGUAUGCCCUAACCGUGUUUGACUAUGCUUGCCAAGCCUACCAAAACAAGCGGAAACGGGGCUGCA